UAAUACGAAGGGGGCUAGCGUUGCUCGGAAUUACUGGGCGUAAAGGGCGCGUAGGCGGAUCGUUAAGUCAGAGGUGAAAUCCCAGGGCUCAACCCUGGAACUGCCUUUGAUACUGGCGAUCUUGAGUAUGAGAGAGGUAUGUGGAACUCCGAGUGUAGAGGUGAAAUUCGUAGAUAUUCGGAAGAACACCAGUGGCGAAGGCGACAUACUGGCUCAUUACUGACGCUGAGGCGCGAAAGCGUGGGGAGCAAACAGGAUUAGAUACCCUGGUAGUCCACGCCGUAAACGAUGAUUGCUAGUUGUCGGGCUGCAUGCAGUUCGGUGACGCAGCUAACGCAUUAAGCAAUCCGCCUGGGGAGUACGGUCGCAAGAUUA
rnacentral:rRNA from 1 species